rnacentral:lncRNA from 1 species
GCCARCUUAAGAAAUAAUGACCUACCAAAAGGCAGCUAUAAUGGGACAAAUUCAGAUGUAGAGACAGAUGAUUUCAGUUUGUACCAGUAGAACUGAUCUCAGCUUUGGGACAAAUCACUGGUGGGCUGGAUGGAGUGGAAAGAGAACAGCUUAGAAGAUGUCUUGGCUUUCAGAACAACCUGGAAUUGAGGAAAUUUCCUUUGAAGCCUUUGAAGCACUGUAAGUAAGUAAGAAAGAAAAGAUAAAUCCUCUGUUCUCCUCCCCUGUAGAGAUACGUAAGU